ACGCUCGACACCUACGGGAGACAGCAGUGGGGAAUAUUGCACAAUGGGGGAAACCCUGAUGCAGCGACGCCGCGUGAGUGAAGAAGUAUUUCGGUAUGUAAAGCUCUAUCAGCAGGGAAGAAGAUGACGGUACCUGAGUAAGAAGCCCCGGCUAACUACGUGCCCGNNCGCGGAUNUGNGCGGCGNGNGAG
rnacentral:rRNA from 1 species